UACGUAGGUGACGAGCGUUAUCCGGAAUUACUGGGCAUAAAGCGCACGCAAGCGGUCUGACAAGUCUGGCGUGAAAUCCUCUGGCUUAACCAGGGGCGGUCGCUGGAGACUGUUAGGCUUGAGGCGAUGAGAGGGGUGCAGAAUUCCCGGUGUAGUGGUGGAAUGCGUAGAGAUCCGGAGGAACCCAGAGGCGAAGGCGACUACCUGCCUGUUCUUGACGCUGAGGCGCGAAAGCUAGGGGAGCAAACGGG
rnacentral:rRNA from 1 species